rnacentral:lncRNA from 1 species
GCUGUUGUGUCAUGGAUCUAUAUAGUAAUAGGCACACUGGUGUUGUUUUUAUUGAUUGAUACAGGGUUUGUGGUCCAUAAUCAUUGUGGUUUUGUCGGGUGGGGGCCCUGUCUCUAGGAGUCUUUCUGUAAAUUCUUGGAGGACGGAGUUGUAUGUGGAUGUCAUUUCAAUGUUGUAUUGGCCUAUGCUGCUUCAACCAUACAAUUAGGUUCUGCUACUAAUUGUGCAGUUAAAGCAACUUUCAGACCCUCAGAUAGAACCCUUGUUAAAGGUAUACAGUGAGGAACAACGUGAAAUGAUAAGGUGGGAAAUAAUUAGCCAAAGAAAUGGAUAUACUAAAUCUAAAAACGUAAAUGAGAAAAAAUCUAAAGUGGCCACAACAUAUGCUAAAUGCUGGCUACAGAAAGAAGAUAUCAUAUGCACUAGGGAGGACAAAACUAAACAACCUGCCUUUAUACUUUUGAAUAUUGCCUUUACACUAAGGAUAAUGACUAAACAACCUGCCUUUAUACUUUUGAAUAUUGCCUUUACACUAAGGAUAAUGGCUAAACAACCUGGCCUUUAUACUUAAGAAUAUCUAUAAAAUACUUCUGCAUGAUUUUAUUUAAAAGUCAGACUAACAAAUAUUACCUCGGUACCAUAUGGAUGAGUUCU